rnacentral:rRNA from 1 species
CCUACGGGGGGCAGCAGUAGGGAAUCUUUCACAAUGGGCGAAAGCCUGAUGGAGCAACGCCGCGUGCAGGAUGAAGGCCUUCGGGUUGUAAACUGCUUUUAUAAGCGAGAAAUAUGAUGGUAACUUAUGAAUAAGGAUCGGCUAACUACGUGCCAGCAGCCGCGGUCAUACGUAGGAUCCGAGCAUUAUCCGGGGUGACUGGGUGUAAAGAGUUGCGUAGGUGGCAUAAUAAGUAGCUAGUGAAAUCUGGUGGCUCAACCAUUCAGACUAUUAGCUAAACUGUUAAGCUCGAGACCGUUAGGGGUAACUGGAAUUUCUGGUGUAGGAGUGAAAUCCGUAGAUAUUAGAAGGAACACCAAUAGCGUAGGCAGGUUGCUGGGACGGUUCUGACACUAAGGCACGAAAGCGUAGGGAGCAAACGGGAUUAGAUACCCGUGUAGUC